rnacentral:tRNA from 1 species
UAUUUGUACUAAAAUUAGACUUUUUGAUUGGAAAUCAAGGAUACUAUGGUUUAUACUAUACAAAU